AUUUUCUGCCACCGAAUACAUUAGCAUGGGAUAAUGGAAUAGGACCCUGUCCUCCUAUUUUCAGUUGGUUUUGGCAGCGCGAGGACUAGGGUAAUGAUUAAUAGGGAUAGUUGGGGGCAUUAAUAUUUAAUUGUCAGAGGUGAAAUUCUUGGAUUUAUGAAAGAUUAACUUCUGCGAAAGCAUCUGCCAAGGAUGUUUUCAUUAAUCAAGAACGAAAGUUAGGGGAUCGAAGACGAUCAGAUACCGUCGUAGUCUUAACCAUAAACGAUGCCGACCAGCGAUUAGGAGACGUUGAAUACAAAACACCACCAUCGGUGCGGUCGUCCUUGGCGUCGGUCUUUCGGGGCCGGCGCGGGGACGGCUUAGCCCGGUGGCACCGGUGAAUGACUCCCUAG
rnacentral:rRNA from 1 species